GACAGAGGAUGCAAGCGUUAUCUGGAAUGAUUGGGCGUAAAGCAUCUGUAGGUGGCUUUUCAAGUCCACCGUCAAAUCCCAGGGCUCAACCCUGGACAGGCGGUGGAAACUACCAAGCUGGAAUACAGUAGGGGCAGAGGGAAUUUCUGGUGGAGCGGUGAAAUGCAUUGAGAUCGGAAAGAACAGCAACGGCGAAAGCACUCUACUGGGUCGACACUGACACUGUGAGACGAAAGCUAGGGGAGCAAAUGGG
rnacentral:rRNA from 1 species